rnacentral:rRNA from 1 species
GAACGAGAAAGUGGAGCAAUCCAUGAGUAAAGUGGCGACCGGGUGAGUAACACGUGACCAACCUACCCUAGAGUGGGGGAUAACUUCGGGAAACCGGGGCUAAUACCGCAUAACAUCGCAGGGUGAAAUUCCCUGUGAUCAAAGGAGCAAUUCGCUCAAGGAGGGGGUCGCGGCUGAUUAGUUAGUUGGCGGGGUAACGGCCCACCAAGACAAAGAUCAGUAGCCGGCCUGAGAGGGCGCACGGCCACACUGGAACUGAAACACGGUCCAGACUCCUACGGGAGGCAGCAGUGGGGAAUUUUGCGCAAUGGGGGAAACCCUGACGCAGCAACGCCGCGUGGAGGAUGAAGUCCCUUGGGAUGUAAACUCCUUUCGAUCGGGACGAUAAUGACGGUACCGGAAGAAGAAGCACCGGCUAACUCUGUG